rnacentral:tRNA from 1 species
CAGAAUUCAGAUCAACGUAGGAAGAUCAGGACUUUUAAUCCGUUGGUCGCAGGUUCGAAUCCUGCACGUCCUACCA